ACUUUAUGUUUACUGUGUGUCUCAACAGAUUCUGGUUCCACAUCUGUCUUAAUACCCCUGCUGCUAAAUCACCCAAAGCGUGGAAAAAAAUAGGAGUUGUGCAGAUCAUACAGAGGGAAUAAAUCACACCUACUCCAGGUCUAGAAGAGAACAUCGGUCAGAGCUGCCCUGGAUACAUAACCCAGAUGAAACUAUGCAUACACACAAAAACACAGAACUAAAAGAAGACUGUCGUGAUCGGAUGUGGCAUUAAUCACAUGAAUCAUUUGUGCUGAUUUGGAGAAGGCGAGAGGACAAGCCAUCGUCUUCACUGCAUCACCGUGUCGCUGUGCCGAGUACAAAUGGAGCAUUUCAUUAAACGUGUCAGUGCACCACGGCGUCAGUGCACCGUAGGGGGCAUGUUCUCCACCUUACAUCGAUCAGCUUAGACCAUCGUGCGUCGUGAGCAAGAGAAGAAGAGUUGUCAGGUAUGGAACUAAUGUGAUUUUCCUACCUGCUGAGUGUCAAGUGAGGAUCGUCUCAGCCAUGCUGUGGCUUGUCUCUUCUGCAUGAGUACAAAGAUUGUUAAAUAUUGCUAUUAAAAUGCCUCCAGGAUUCGUGUUUGAAAAGAUAUUACUGCAGAGAUCUGAAGCAUUUUAAUCUUUUUGACCUUACUCAGAUAGGGGUAAGUAUAGGUGUUUGAGUGUCUUGGAACAGUGCAGGUGGUAUUUAGUGUAAAUAUAGGCUAAUUAUUACAGUGAUUUUUAAUAAAAGCUACCGAAUACAAAUGUGAUUGAACAGACAUUAUCACACUUACUAUGAGAAGGAAGCCAAGUACUAAUGAAAACUAAGAAAAGGGAUCAUUUGUUUGUAUAAUUAGUAACAGCUUUGUAGAGAAAAUAAAGUGAAAAAGAAAGCGAGGAUCACUAAAUCGUGUUAAACUUACGAUCAAGACUCAACGCAGUGCAACUACAAAAAAUCUGUUUGUUGAACUUAUUUUUGGAUUUUAAACAUCAGUAUGUAACAUGUAUCAUUUGUUGUUUCGUGAUGUUGUUUCAUAAGGACUCGGUCACACUAGAGUUAAGACAGGACUGCAACCUCCUGGUGAGCAGGAAUAAUCAGUGGGUGCUUGGUGAUUGCAUUUCAUUUUUUUGCACAGUAGUUGCAACGACUACUUUAAAUUACCAUGCGGGAGGCAACCUCUGUCCAGAUGUUCGUGGUUGUCAUGAUCCGAGUGAGUGCCCGGUGGUUUGUUCCUGGUUCCACACUUGCAUCCUUCCACCUGUCAUAAAUCAGUGGCUUUGAGUGGGAUGGUUCUUAAGACCAGCUCAACCUGCCAUUCUUAACCAGUUUAUCAGCUACCUCAUGGUGGUAACUAGGCCUCCAUGACUCUCGUUAUCCAGGUUUUGCCCUGCACUCGUGUCUCUUUAUGCCUCUACAGUAGUUCCUUCAAGACUCUGAUCCACUUACCUGCAACUCAAUCCUCUGGAUGCUGGACACUAAACCCUCCGAGUAAGCCUGCAAACUCACUAUGUUGAACCUCAGCUACUCACCGCUCUCAUCUGCCUGCCCUCCUGCUUGCCGCACCACCACUGGACCUCUGGAAACGAAAGGUUGGAAGAGCAAUCUCACUUACCUCACCAUUCAGCCGGACUCUUACUAGGUCAUACUCUCCCCGGAGCAAACUCUCACUCACCUGCAAGUAGGCCUUCAUCAUUCCAACUCAUACUCGCCUUCAGUCAUCCUCACCCAUUUAUUGAAAUUAAUCAUUCUGUCCCUCUGUUCCAGCUGCUUCCUCGUCAGGGACUCUCGUUCCCACACCUAUGGUUCAUGUCACUAAUUUGAAUAAAGCUUUAU